AAAACUAGCCAGUCUUUUGGGUAUGAAACCCAUUUGGGCGAGAGUAGUACUAGGAUGGGUGACCUCCUGGGAAGCCCUCGUGAAAGGGUUUC
rnacentral:rRNA from 1 species